AAUGACGAAGAGUCAAAAAUAACGGCAGAAAUGACUGAUUUAAUAAUUAACUUUGUUUUUAGAUCAUUAUGA